AUGCUCGCCCCCACCAACCGAUCGACGCCGCCAACCUCCACUACUGGCCGCCCUCCACUGGAUCGGCACCACCGGUCUCCUCUGGAUCGAUGCCGCCGACCUCCACUAUCCCUAACCUUCCUGCUCUGGUGCGCUCCGCAGCCCUGCUCCGCGGCCAUGAUGUCAGUUGUCACAGAUGUAGGGCCCAUUGGCAUGAACGCUGUUCCAGGCAAAAGCCAUCGCUGCCAUGUAUGGCUGGCCCGCUCGACCUCCAGGUCUUCUCCUAUCUCGCUGCUGCCUUUCAGUUCCAUCGGCGGAGCUCCAAGAUGCAGAGGCGCGCGCGAUGGUAGACGAGCAGCAGCAACAAGGAUGAGAAGGCGGAGGAGCGAAGCGUGUAUUUCAAUUCGUUCGGUUCAGCGACCACCAAAUCUGCAUUGA
rnacentral:rRNA from 1 species